rnacentral:ncRNA from 1 species
UAAUUAAAUUAUUUUAAAAUUUGGUAUUUUUAUAAUUUAUUUAUUGAGUUUUAUUUAUGUAUACAUAAUUGUUUAUAAAAUAUUUUUUAUUUUGAUAUUAAUUAAUUUAAUUUUUAAUUAUAAUAUAUGGUUUUUUAUAUUUGAUUGGUAUUCAAUUGAAGGUUUAUUAUUAAUUUAUUGUUAAAUUUUUGUGCCAGCAAUCGCGGUUAUACAAUUGAUAAUUAAAUAUUUAUGAUUUUAUUAUGAUUUAUUUUUAUAUUUAUAUAAUUUAUGUUUAAUUAGGUAAUAAAGUGAAAUUUUUAUUUAUUUGAAUUUAUAUAAUUUAUUAAUUAAUAAAUUUUAUUUUGGGAAUUUUUAAUUUAGGACUAGGAUUAGAUACCCUAUUAUUUAAUGGAAUAAAAUUUAAGUUUAUUUAUUAUUAUUAUAUGAAAUAUAACUAAGAUGGCAGUAUAUUAUUCAAUUUAGAGGAACUUGUUUAUUAAUUGAUAAUACACGAUUUAUUUUACUUAAUUUUUUUUGUAUAUCGUUGUUGUAAUUGUAUUUAGAUUUUGAAUAUUUAGUUUAUUUAGUUAAUUAUAAUUCAGAUCAAGAUGCAGGUUUAGUUAAGAAUAUUAUGAGUUACAAUAUAUUUAAUGUGUGGAUUAUUGUUAAUUUAAAUUUGCUAUGAGAAUGGAUUUAAUGGUAAUUUAUUUAAUUUAGUAUAAAUGAUUAUAGUAUUAAUUUAUGUACUUAUUGCCCGUCACUCUUAUUUUUGGUUAUAUUAAUUUAAUUGAUUUUUGGGCUGAAUUAUUAAGAUAAGUCGUAACAAAGUAAGUGUACUGGAAUGUGUACUUGGAA